GGCAGCGACUCUUAAACACUGCUGAAUGACAAUGAAAACAUCCCUGUGCUAUCAACACUGCCUUCAGCACAAAUCCAAAACAGCCUCAUACUAGAUAUGUAUCAUUGAAAGAAGAUCCUUCUACAGAUGAAAGUUGCUUCACACUUGUUGCAGUUGUCCAGUCAAAGAAUCAAAAAACUACAUGGAAAGGAAAGCUACUAUAAGGAAAGGAAGCUUAGGAAGGACAGGUAAUAAAACCAGGACACUCAUUGUUGUCCCUACAUGCUUAGGGACAAUUGAACAACAUUACAGUCC